rnacentral:rRNA from 1 species
ACGGGUGAGUAACACGUAAGGAACCUGCCUCAAGGAUUGGGAUAACUCCGAGAAAUCGGAGCUAAUACCGGAUAGUUCAUCGGACCGCAUGGUCCGUUGAUGAAAGGCGCUCCGGCGUCACCUUGAGAUGGCCUUGCGGUGCAUUAGCUAGUUGGUGGGGUAACGGCCCACCAAGGCGACGAUGCAUAGCCGACCUGAGAGGGUGAUCGGCCACACUGGGACUGAGACACGGCCCAGACUCCUACGGGAGGCAGCAGUAGGGAAUCUUCCACAAUGGACGAAAGUCUGAUGGAGCAACGCCGCGUGAGUGAUGAAGGUUUUCGGAUCGUAAAACUCUGUUGUAAGGGAAGAACACGUACGAGAGGGAAUGCUCGUACCUUGACGGUACCUUACGAGAAAGCCACGGCUAACUACGUGCCAGCAGCCGCGGUAAUACGUAGGUGGCAAGCGUUGUCCGGAAUUAUUGGGCGUAAAGCGCGCGCAGGCGGCCUUUUAAGUCUGAUGUGAAAGCCCCCGGCUCAACCGGGGAGGGCCAUUGGAAACUGGAAGGCUUGAGUACAGAAGA